UACGUAGGGUCCAAGCGUUAUCCGGAAUCACUGGGCGUAAAGCGUUCGUAGGCGGUUUUUCAAGUUGGGUGUGAAAUCCUGUGGCUCAACCAUAUGGACUGUGCCCAAAACUGAAAGACUAGAGCAUAGUAGAGGCAAGUGGAACUUGCGGUGUAGGGGUGACAUCCGUAGAUAUCGCAAAGAACACCAAUGGCGAAGGCAGCUUGCUGGGCUAUUGCUGACGCUCAGGAACGAAAGCGUGGGGAGCGAA
rnacentral:rRNA from 1 species